UACAGAGGUCCCAAGCGUUGUUCGGAUUCAUUGGGCGUAAAGGGUGCGUAGGCGGCGCGGUAAGUCGGGUGUGAAAUCUCGGGGCUUAACUCCGAAACUGCAUUCGAUACUACCGUGCUUGAGGACUGGAGAGGAGACUGGAAUUUACGGUGUAGCGGUGAAAUGCGUAGAUAUCAGGAGGAACACCGAUGGCGAAGGCAGGUCUCUGGGCCACUACUGACGCUGAGAAGCGAAAGCAUGGGGGAGCGAACAGG
rnacentral:rRNA from 1 species